GAUGAACGCUGGCGGCGUGCCUAAUACAUGCAAGUCGAGCGAACAUACGAGGAGCUUGCUUCUCUGACGUUAGCGGCGGACGGGUGAGUAACACGUGGGUAACCUACCUAUAAGACGGGGAUAACUUCGGGAAACCGGAGCUAAUACCGGAUAAUAUAUUGAACCGCAUGGUUCAAUAGUGAAAGGCGGCUUUGGUGUCACUUAUAGAUGGGGCCGCGGGGCAAUAGGUAGUUGGUUAGGGAACGGCUUACCAAGGGAACGAUGCGUUCCCGACCUGGGAGGGGGACCGGCAACCUUGGACCGGGGCCCCGGUCCGGCCCCUUCCGGGGGGCAGAAGUAGGAAACUUUCGGAAAUGGCGGAAGGCCGGCCGGAGAACGGCCGGGUAGCUGAUAAGGGUUUUCGGAUCGUAAGCCUCUGUUAUUAGGGAAAACCAAUUGCGUACGUAAAUAUGCACGCCUUGACGGUACCUGAUCAGAAAGCCACGGCUAACUACGUG
rnacentral:rRNA from 1 species